rnacentral:rRNA from 1 species
UACAGAGGCCCCAAGCGUUAGGCGGAAUCACUGGGCUUAAAGCGUGUGUAGGCGGACUUCUAAGUGCCUUGUGAAAUCCCACGGCUUAACCGUGGAACUGCUUGGUAUACUGGUCGUCUUGAGCCACUUAGGGGUUACCGGAACAAAUGGUGGAGCGGUGAAAUGCGCAGAUAUCAGGAGGAACACCGGUGGCGAAGGCGGGUCUCUGGGCCGAUACUGACGCUGAGGAGCGAAAGCGUGGGGAGCGAACAGG